rnacentral:rRNA from 1 species
AUUGAACGCUGGCGGCAGGCCUAACACAUGCAAGUCGAACGAGUGGCGGACGGGUGAGUAAUGUCUGGGAAACCGCCUGAUAGGGGGGGAACAAUACUGGAAAAGGUCGCUAAUACCGCAUACUAUCAUUUGUGCCCAGAUGGGAUUGGCGUGUUGGUGGGGUAAGGGCUCACAAAGGCGACGAUCCCUAGCUGGUCUGAGGGGAUGACCAGCAACACUGGAACUGGGACACGGUCCAGACUCCUACGGGAGGCAGCAGUGGGGAAUAUUGCACAAUGGGCGCAAGCCUGAUGCAGCCAGGCCGCGUGUAUGAAGAAGGCCUUCGGGUUGUAAAGUACUUUCAGCGGGGAGGCGUUACCCGCAGAAGAAGCACCGGCUAACUCCGUGCCAGCAGCCGCGGUAAUAC